rnacentral:lncRNA from 1 species
AGGGCACACAGGUGCAGUGCAUCAACAGCAGGGGAUAAAAGGCUGGGCUAAAGAACCAGAAGGGCAGAUGCUUGAAGCCUUCUGAGGUGGUAUGGUGGUGCUCUGUAUGGGUUGAAGCUUUCUGAAAUUGUAUCACUCUUUGUAUCGUGGCCAUCCCAACCGUGACAUUGGUGGAGCCUGAAUCAACCCUGAAUGGAACCCAUGGCUGGUGGGAACACCUUGUCACAGCCCUUGAGCAGUGAUGAAGACAGAUUCUUGAUGAUGUUGGUUUUUUUUAUUUAGGAAACAAGCUGGUGCUAUCAAAGCACCAAAUACUCAUCUCUGGGCCACUUACCACAUCUUACUUUGCCAGCCUCUACCAAUGCCAUAAUCUCAAGCAAUUGCUACCUCUGCUCCUAAUGGCCCUCCUGCUCUGGAGCUCCUCUCCAGCUCCCUGGGGAACAUCCCUGCCUCCCCCAUUACCCUGAAUGAAUGAAAAUAUAUGUUCGCUGGUUUCUCUCCAACAACACCUGGAACUCCUUUGGUAAACCUAAGCCCUGCUGUUUGGUGCAGAUGACCAACUGGAAAAUCAGAUUUAUUUGGACUUCAGGCCUGUGCUCAUCCUCAAUGCUGACCAAUAAACCAUCAAGAAACAGAGUGUGCUGCCUGUUUCCUUGGCAUGGCAGAGGCAAGCAGGUAUUUGCUGACAGCCAGCAGUCCCUGGACUGUGUGAUCAGAGCUGGGAUGUGUUCCCUGCUGGAGCACAAGUGGGAGGAGCCAGAGCUCUGUGAUGGAUUUGCUCCCACUGCUGUUAAUGGUGAGAGAGACCCCAGGGUAUGGGGAUGUGGGAAUCCUCUGAGUGUGUUAUUUGGACUUUUUGUCACUGGGAUAUUUUAUGAAAAUCCUUUCUCUAGGAUUUUUCUCCUGAGAAGCUGAGAAGCCUCAGAAAAGAAAUGAAAACAAUAAUUAUCUGAUGGGUGUGGGAUGUGGUCUGGAGAUGGUUUACCAAGAGGUGCAUCUUGGAUUGGUCUCAUGUGGAUUGUUUUUACUUGAUGACCAGUCACUGCCAGCUGUGUCAGACUCUCUGGUCAGUCAUGAGUUUUUUAUUAUCAUUCUUUUCUAGCCUUCUGAUGUCUCCUUUCUCUUUCUUUAGUAUAGUUUUAUUAUAUCAUUUUCUUUUAAUAUAAUAGAUACCAUAAAAUAAUAAAUCAG